rfam:Ictidomys tridecemlineatus contig023802, whole genome shotgun sequence.
GGGGUUGUGGCUCAGUGGUAGAGCGCUUGCCUAGCAUGCACGAGGCAUUGGGUUCAAUCCUCAGCACCA